AAAAAAUAUAUAUUCUAUGGUGUAGUAAAGUAGCAUUCAUGGCAAAUUAAAAAAAAAUAAAAUAAAUAAAAUAAAAAAAUAAUAAUAAAACAAAACCUGUCACGAACGUUGUCACGACCGUUGCAAACUCAGAAGUGGGAUGAGCGUCACACAGGCUGUUACGGUCGCCACGCACCCCAUGACGCCCGUAACAUAUGCUGUCACGAGCGUGACAACUUGUUUCCUCGUAAAAUGUUGUUGACCGUUACGACAUGACCGUUACUCCCUUCAUCUCACCUCUUUACUCCCUUCAUCUCACCUCUUUACUCCCAUUCAUCUCACCUCUUUA
rnacentral:lncRNA from 1 species